UCUCAAUUCCAGCCCCUCCUCCCUCGUCUGAAUCUUAAUUUCAGAUUUGCGAGGAACAACCUUGUGAGAAACUUCACAACAACACAUUACAGAUUUUGAGACUUACAUCAAAGCUUUGAAAACCUUGCAGAUACGUAUUCUCAUAUGUGCGUCAAUCUUUGAAAAUCAUUUGGGUCUCUCAUUGGUGUAGUUUGUUUUUCUUGAAAUGGGUGUUCUUUUAUUUAGGAUGCAGAUGGGUAUUGUUUCUUAUGAAGCCAGCUUCAUUUGAUUGACGGAAUAACGGUUUCUCUAUACAAAUUCAUCGUUCUUCAACUUCAACCUCUUGGCCCUCUCCUUCCUUUGGAACUCGAGAGGGGAAGAUCGCCGAUUAGACGAUAAUGCCACACAAAACUCGACCUAUGACGGCACUCUUGGUCUUCACUGGGGUGAAUGCUCUCUUGCUCCCAACACUUGGACCUGUUUAUGAUUUCGUUUGCUUCCUCCCAUACUGGGAAAGAAGGAGAGAACGUCGGCGCCAAGAACGUGAAGCUGCCUCUACCGGAACUGUUGGAUCAUCCCAGUCAAUAAGUUAGAACAACUUUAGAGGUUGCCGAGGUUUCUUGAACGUUUUGAAGAGUUUGCGGGUGUUUUUGAAAGAUUAGACGACGGCCACCGCCGCCUCACGGCGGCCGCUGCCCACCGUGCUUGUUUCGAAGAGAUCUGCGUAGGGGGUAGGCGGCGCCGCAGCCCCUGGGCGAAUCCGGCAGUUACGAAUUUUCGUAUAAAAGCCCUUUUUUAAGGUUUUUCCUAUCACCUUCGACUCCAGCACCCUCCUUAGGCGAUUUCUAUCAUUUUUCUCUAGUUUUUGAGUAUUAGAACACAUCUAAACAUCAUUUGGAAUCCUCGGAUUGAAGAUCGCUUUGGUUUUGGAUUGAAGUUGCCUGGACUAUUGUAAGAACAUCUUUAUUUCCUUUUGAUUGGUUUAUGGUGCAUUCUUGUUGUUCUUUAUUGA